rnacentral:lncRNA from 1 species
AAAAUCAUAUAUUUAAAAAUAUCUACUUGCAAUCAAGAUCAUUGAAAGCCACAUCAUUUAGGCCAAUAUUAGUAUACUUUGAAGAUAAGAAAUGAUAUGUUUCGGAUGCGUAUCGGAGCAAUCAACCAAAGGCAUCAAAAUUAAUUCUGUUUUUCUUUCAUUAAGAUUUUAUUUAGAAAUCAUAUGGAGUUUAAGCUUUUAUACAAAAUCAGAUUCUGAAUUACAUAGGAUUUUCAAUUGAGGCUUUCAAAAUCAUAAUUUGAGAUGUGUAUCUUCCAGAUUGUAGCUCAUCUUAAAUCAUUACGUUUGAAAACACAUAUUUCAAACAUGUAAGAGCAUAUUCAGAGUAUUUGUAUUUAUGUUGAGUUUUGGUAUGAGUUAGAACAUUAUAUACCAAAGUUAAUCAAGUUGAAGGAUAAAAACAAACUCAAUUCAUUUUGCCUAAAUAGAGAUAUCCUUCUCUUCUCCUUUUUAC